CUGAUGUGAAAUCCCACGGCUCAACCGUGGAACUGCAUUGGAAACUGCCUGACUUGAGUACCGGAGAGGUGAAGGGAAUUCUCGGUGUAAGGGUGAAAUCUGUAGAUAUCGAGAGGAACACCAGUGGCGAAGGCGCUUCACUGGCCGGUAACUGACACUGAUCUGCGAAAGCAAGGGGAGCAAACAGGAUUAGAUACCCUGGGUAGUCCUUGCCGUAAACGAUGUGGAUUAGGUGUUGGGGGUGUCGAUCCCUCCAGCGCCGCAGCGUAACGCAUUAAAUCCACCACCUGGGGAGUACGGUCGCAAGACUGAAACUCAAAGAAAUUGACGGGGACCCGCACAAGCGGUUGGAGCAUGUGGUUUAAUUCGAGGCUACACGAAGAACCUUACCCAGGCUUGACAUGUAGUUGACAACGUACGAAAGUGCGUCUUCCCGCAAGGGACAAUUACACAGGUGCUGCAUGGCUGUCGUCAGCUCGUGCUGUGAAGUGUUGGGUUAAGUCCCGCAACGAGCGCAACCUUUGUUCUUAGUUGGCAUCACGUUAUGGUGGCCACUCUAAGGAGACUGCCGGUGAUAAACUGGAGGAAGGAGGAGACGACGUCAAGUCAGUAUGGCCAUUAUGCCUGGGGCUACACACGUGCUACAAUGGCCGCCACAAAGGGCAGCAAACCCGCGAGGGGGAGCAAAUCCCAAAAA
rnacentral:rRNA from 1 species